rnacentral:rRNA from 1 species
UACGUAGGGGGCAAGCGUUGUCCGGAUUUAUUGGGCGUAAAGAGCGUGUAGGCGGCCAGACAGGUCCGUUGUGAAAACUCGAGGCUCAACCUCGAGACGCCGAUGGAAACCGUCUGGCUAGAGUCCGGAAGAGGAGAGUGGAAUUCCCGGUGUAGCGGUGAAAUGCGCAGAUAUCGGGAAGAACACCCGUGGCUAAGGCGGCUCUCUAGUACGGUACUGACGCUGAGACGGCGAAAAGCGUGGGGAGCGAACAGG